GACAGGUGCUGCAUGGCUGUCGUCAGCUCGUGUUGUGAAAUGUUGGGUUAAGUCUCGCAACGAGCGCAACCCCUAUCUUUAGUUGCCAGCAUUAAGUUGGGCACUCUAGAGAGACUGCCUGGGUUAACCAGGAGGAAGGUGGGGAUGACGUCAAGUCCUCAUGGCCCUUAUGUCCAGGGCUACACACGUGAUACAAUGGUGCAUACAAAGGGAAGCGACCUGGUGACAGUGAGCAAAUCUCAAAAAGCGCGUCUCAGUCCGGAUUGGAGUCUGCAACUCGACUCCAUGAAGUUGGAAUCGCUAGUA
rnacentral:rRNA from 1 species